rnacentral:rRNA from 1 species
GAUGAACGCUAGCGGCAGGCUUAACACAUGCAAGUCGAGGGGUAACAUUGGUGCUUGCACCAGAUGACGACCGGCGCACGGGUGCGUAACGCGUAUAGAAUCUGCCUUGUACAGGAGGAUAGCCUUUAGAAAUGAAGAUUAAUACUCCAUAAUGUAGAGUUGUGGCAUCACAAUUUUAUUAAAGAUUUAUCGGUACAAGAUGACUAUGCGUCCUAUUAGCUAGAUGGUAAGGUAACGGCUUACCAUGGCAACGAUAGGUAGGGGUCCUGAGAGGGAGAUCCCCCACACUGGUACUGAGACACGGACCAG